AUUCCUUUCAUUUGGCUUGGACGAUUUUGGAGAGCUCAAGGAGGGAGUUUCACCAAGCAACACUAGAUUUGGAGCACUCGGAAGUUGGGUCGAUAGGCAAGUGUGUUGCAGAGUAGCUUUUCGGGCUAGUUCGAGAUUCAGGUAUUUCUAAAUCCGGUAACGGGUGUU